rnacentral:rRNA from 1 species
AUUGAACGCUGGCGGCGUGCCUAACACAUGCAAGUCGAGCGGUAACAGGUGUAGCAAUACAUGCUGACGAGCGGCGGACGGGUGAGUAACGCUUGGGAAUCUGCCUAUUAGUGGGGGACAACCCGGGGAAACUCGGGCUAAUACCGCAUACGCUCUACGGAGGAAAGCCGGGGACCGCAAGGCCUGGCGCUAAUAGAUGAGCCCAAGUCGGAUUAGCUAGUUGGUAGGGUAAGGCCUACCAAGGCGACGAUCCGUAACUGGUCUGAGAGGACGACCAGUCACACCGGAACUGAGACACGGUCCGGACUCCUACGGGAGGCAGCAGUGGGGAAUAUUGGACAAUGGGCGAAAGCCUGAUCCAGCGACGCCGCGUGGGUAGAAGAAGGCCUGCGGGUUGUAAAGCCCUUUCAGUGGGGAAGAAAAGCCUCGACCUAACACGUCGGGGUCUUGACGUAACCCACUAGAAGAANCACCGGCUAACUCUGUGCCAGCCGCCGCGUAAG